GUUUCUUUAACACCCUUAUUUGACAUAAAUUUGACACCGGCCACGUGUCAAAUUUCUAUUGGUUUUUUUCUUUUAAAGGGAAAUGGGUUUUUUAAAAACUAACGAGGGUAGAAUAGGAAUUCUGAGGAUAUGAAAUUUUGUUUGGCGGUUUCUUUUUCUUCUCUUUCACUUUGUUUCUGAAGCUUCUUGUCUCCCAUCACUCUUUCCAUUCCCGGUUGCUUCAUCUCUCCAAUCCUUUGGUUUCUCCAUUGCACUGUUCGUCUCAUCUCAACCCAAAAAAAGCUAUCUUUCGCAAGGUAAGCUCUAUUUCCUCUAUCCCCUUUUUGGGUGGCUUUGGCGUUGUGUGUGUUUUGUCAUUUCAUCCCCUUCUCGCAUUGUUUUCUUUGGUGUUAUUUAUUCAUUUUGUGUUUUGUGAACCCUGAGCCACCAUUGAUUUUUUGGUCUCUUUCGUGUUUUCAUUUUUAGUUGAAAUGGUUUCCGGAAUCCCAAAAGUAAGUUAAAGUUUUGGUCUUUUAUUUAGUUGCAUUUUUUUGGUUAGUAAUUGAUGAGUCGAUAUUUUAUUGAUUUCACUUAGUUUAUUGUGCUAGAAUUAAUCGGGGAAUUGUGCUUAAUUGUCCGAUAUUUUCUCGUUUUUCCUAAUUAUGCUUAAUUUGAUCAGAAAUUCUUAUUUUAGUUAAUUUGAAUUUUUUGAGCUAAUUAUUUGCAUUAUUAUUUUCAGGGAAUAUUUUGGAAAUACAAUUUGGGACAUUUGGAGUGCUAUCAAAUAAAUUCAAGACUCUCCAAUUAGACAUUUUAAAAUUAAUUGUAUUGUAAUUUUAAUUGUUUAAACUUUUUAGACAAACUUUUGCACAUUGGACCAUUGUUAAAAAUUAUGAGGGGCCCAAAAUUGUAGGACACUUGACCUAGGGUUUCCUUUUAUUUUUAGGGUGGACCCCACCCUAUUUUUGAGACACUUGGCCCUAGGGAAAGAAGCUGUCCAACCGUCAUUUUUAAUAGACACACUUGGCUUUUUGGCUGAAUGUCCAGGCGCUCUCUCU
rnacentral:lncRNA from 1 species